CAAAUUCUAAUACCACUUCUGUUGUGUGUUUGAGAUGGACCAUAAACAAAAAAGAAAGUCUGGGAGGAGUUUAAACCUUUACUGCACAUACCACAAAAAGGCACCGCAAUGGAAAGCUCUGCUGAAUUUUGAGGAGCCAGAAAGCCUGGAAGCUUGUAGGCAGAGUUGUAGGCAGCUUCCCUUUUUACUGGGACUUGGAAAAUUCAUUAGGCCUGAAAAUUGCCAGAUCUACUCUGAAAGGAAGGGAGAAGGGUCAUGUAAAGUCUAGAGAAAAUUCAGACCACUUUUUUUUUGUUGUUUUAAUUUGCAGAUAGUGAAAAAUUGACCUGAGCUUCCAAUUGUAAAAUUUUGUCUAAUAAUAAAGCUAGGUGGGGCUGACCCAGGCAGGGAGAUACAGUGAUGAAGUGUUGCGCCUGGGCAGUUUCCACUGGCAGAGAUCUUCUGGAAGCCAGACUGGAUUUUAAAGCUCCCCACAGGAACAAAGCUGGCCACCAGCACUCAUUCUGUUCUGCUUCUUCAUCAGCACUAAUCCAUACAUGCAGCAGCACCCCUGUUAUUUAUAGGUGACCUAUAUUCAAAAACUCAUUACGAUUGUGCACCAGAAAGACACAGAAGGCAACCUGCAGGACAGCUAUGACAGGGGCAUGUGCAGUGUGUGUAUCUAAAGGGAGAGUGCGGAGCAGGUUGAUAAUGAGCUUUGAAAGCCAGGAUUGGCUGGCCAUUGAUUAACAAAAUGAGAAACUGAGGUAGUAUGCAACUAGAAGGAUUACUGUAAGCUCACAACUUCUCCCCAACUCCUGAGAGAGUGAUUUGUUCAACUGACCUUUUGUGGAGCUGGGCUGGAAAGAUAUAAAUUAGCUCAUAAUACAAGAAUAUUUUUGUUUAAUAAAACUGCCCCCAAAUUUGUUUGGAGUUCCCAGGCUUCUCAGGAGAAAAAGAAAGAGAGCUAUUAUGUUCUACAAAAACAAUGACAUUUUAGCCUCUGUAUUUACUCUUCCCCAUAGAAAAUCUGCAGUAGGCCAAGGUAUGUAUGACAGCAAUGCUUGGCACUUCUACUGUGCAUUUCACAUGCCCUUCCAAACAACCAAAUGCCUGGAGAAGCACUUCAUUCACCAGUUACUGCUCCAAGCUCCCCUGCAGUAAAACAGGUUACCUAAGAGCCUUGCUGAUAAAUAAUCCCUGUACCCUGAAGAAGAAUGGAUUAAACAUAGAUGGAGAGGAACAGAAGUCCAUUCAAAGGCCUGGAUGUUAAAACCUUAAGGGAGAGCUGUGAGACGUUUGAAACCAUCCCUCCUUUCUGCUCACCCCAGCUCCUCCAAGCCAGAGCACAUGCAGGUUUUGGGGCAGACGCAGUCCACAAGGCACCAGGCAGAAAUCAGAUCAUGUCUUCCUCAUCACCCUCAGUUUAGACUCUAUGUGGUGUUUCAGAGUCCCUGCUUCUGGUCCCCAGCUUGUUUUGCAGUUCCUGAGAAUCAGAUAGUUACAGUCUGGCUGGAAAGGAUAAAAAAGAAGGGGCCAUUUUAUACCCAGGUGAGUAUAAACUGGGUGGUCCUCAACCAAGACAUGGAGUGCCCCAUUUCAACUGGCUUGCUAGAUCAGAGGUGGCAAAGAGGAGACAGCGAGAUGCCAUAUAGAGAUUUGUUUCAGUAGCUUUGUGAUGGGGGUAUCCAUGUUGCAUUUUGAGCAGAGAACCCGCGCCACACAGAGAUAGGCUUCAGGUGGGCUUUGGGCCCUGUUGCGGCCUGGCGUCACCAUAGCAACCGGCAGCCUGAGGUGGGCCUGCGGCCUGCCCCCUCCUUCCAGGCUCUGCCUUGUCCUGUGAAGAUUUGACUUCUUUUAUCUCCUUUGUCUGAGUUUUUGGGUUGUUCCUGCAUUUCAGCAUUUGGCCCUCACCCUGUGAAGUAGAUGUUGCUGAUGCUUUCCUCUUCUAUGCCAUCCCCUUUCCUGGCAUGCAAGCCCUGAGCUGCUAACAGGGAAUGGCUACUUCAGGAAACACGAGAAAGCUGAGGAGAAACAGCCUGCUGAUAGGUCACUAAAAUAUGCCUUUUCCUUUGAAAACCUCCCGGUGUGGUUUGCUUCAGUACCAAGAAAUUUAAUUGUUGGAUGUAUUUAAGAAAUAUUAAACUCUGCUUUUUUUUUUCUUUUUCAUGUUCAAAGGGAAAGAGCCUGUAUCGGUACAAUACAUUUUUAAAAGCCUUUUAAAAGUUCUCUUUGGCAACACCUCUUUGAAGUCUAAUCCAAUUUGCAAUAUAGUUCUUCCAAGUUAAUCCCAAUUUUUUCAAGACAACCAGAAAUGUUACACAAAGGCUUUCCAAAGAAUAACACGAGUGCAAGCCGCAAUGUAGUUAAAUCUCCUGAUAAGGGGACAAUUCUGCUGUUAUUUACAACAGCAUACAUCCACAGUUGCUCCGCCAGUGGGCUGACCGUGUAGGAUCUGCCCCAUGGAAUCCGAUUUACUUCUCACUUUUGCUGGGCUAAUUCUGUAUUUACAACUCAAACUAAGAUUUAGAUUUAAAAUGUUAAUUUUUAAUAAGGCAGAAGUUUUCUUUAAGGAGGCUCCAGGAAAAGGUUCUGGUUUGUGUUCAUUGCAGAGCUUUAUAGCUUUCCUCAGGAUCUCUCUAGACCUUCCAUAUGCCUUUUCUAAAUACCUUUCUACACAGUCUCAGCAGUACUAUGACUGACCUCCAAAAGACUUAUUUUUUUGGUACAAAGGAAGACACCAAUUAAAUAAUGGUGAAAAGAUCUCUAAGUGGAAAGACAAAUACAUCAGAGGAAGUGAACUCCUGGGUUGUACUACCAAUCCUCAAACAUCAUAAAGAGAAAUCUGUCUAAGACUGGCAGACAGAAUCCCGUGGCUCAGAACCAAAGCUGGAAAAAGCAAAACAGGACUGAAGAGGUAAGAUUUUAAAUGCUGUAGAAGUUAUUAUUGGAACAGUUUCCUAAGGGACAUGUUUGAGUCUCCAUCACUUGACUCUGAUUUUAGUACACAUGACAAUUUUUCUCACACAACCCCCUUCUCCAACUAAUCUUCCAGAACUCCAGUUCUCUGUCCCACAGGGAUAACAUCUCAUCAUCUGCCUCAGCUCCUCAGAUACCAAUACUCUUUUUGUUCAGACGAACUGAAAGAUGAACAUAACUACACCGCACAGGGAUUUUUUUCUCAACCUGCGUUGGGCUUAAUGUUGACUGCUUCUACAAGGGCUUUUCUGCCCCCAAACUUCUCAGUUGUUUUGCAGGAAUAUUUGGUUAAAUGAAAAAAACAUUUCCUCUCCUCAAAGACAGUUUCUCUUCAACAAAUGUCUUUUGAAAAAUACAUGCAAUGAUUAAGUCAUGUGUUGUUGAGUUUGGUGCAGAAAUAGUUGCCUUGAGAGAAAAGAAGGAUGGCCCAAUUAUUGCUACGUUCCUUAGGGCCUUCAAAAUGGGCAGCUCUUCACUCUGUGUUGGUACUUGUCUGCCAGACUGAAGGUCAUUCUAGUAAAGUUUCUCCCAGAGCACCUUAAGCACUGAACGACAUUACUGCUUCUCUGUCAUCGGAAAAACAUCUAGGCAAGAAGGGUGUCUGGUCCAAGGUGUUUCGCAUUUGGUCGUUGCACUUUACAUUCCUGCAUGGUGGAUGCGGUAGUAUGUAAUACUCGUGAGCCAGCUAUUCUGAGCCAUAAUGGCUUUCCAGGACUUUCAUUAUGUGACCCAGGUGUUCUACAUUACAACUCAUUUUUCAUUCACACUGCAGUAAGAAGACAGGGCAGUCCUGCUUAUUAUUGUCUUUUUUUUAACAAAUCAUCUCUAUUUGCUGUACACUGAUGGCUCAUUUGCACCACGAAUGGUAUGAUAUGUCAGGUAAUAUGACCCAGCAGAUUUACUGCUCAAUUGGCAACAUUAGAUCACUCUGAGACAUCAGCCAAGAUCCUAUGACAUCCAGAAUAGAUUAGGUAGAUUGUUAUUGCAGAUACAAUAUACUUCUACAGUGUUUUUCUCUGGGUUCAUUUGGAUAUGGUUAAGUGUGUCUGGCUAUGUAACAUAAAUCUAUUUCCAGCUGCAUUUAUUUAGCUUGCAGCAUGUAUGUGCUGUUUGUGGAUGCAUUAUACCCGUGUGUACACAAGUGGCUGUGUCUUCAUAUAUUUGCAUAUAUGUAAAAGUAUAUAUCUCUUUAUCAUUGAAAUAUUUUCCUUUUCAAGAAUCUCUCACAUGCCAUAGCAUCUAUUACAUUUUACUGAUUUAAAAGACGUAUCUACUGAAAAUAGCUGAUUUUCAUUCACUUUCUUCCCUGGAAGAUAUGCUGUUGGUCUACAGUGGUAAGAAAAAGUAGUAAAAGUGACUAUGCAACUGAGACAUGAAUGAUAAAAUGUAGCAUAGCCUUUACAAACUGAAAUUAGUGAUGUAUGGAGCAGAUAAAAUACUGGUCAGUGUUUUCCUUUAGAAAAUGCAAUGAAAACAAAAUUUCCAUUAACACCAACUUGUUGGCAGGAACUAACACAUAAAAUUUGCAUUUUUCAGUGUUAGGUUUCAAUGUCCAUGUUUUUCUCUGUCCAAUGAAAAGGUAAAAUUUUUAGCAGAAGGAAAACACUGUCUAUGAAUUUCCUGUAAUUGGAACAACAAUUUUCCACAGCAAAACAGACUUGAUUUUACUUUUUUUUUAAAUAAGGCCUAGCUGUGUGGUUUUCUGGCUUCAGACAGUAAUUCCAGAGCUGGCUUAUACUAAUAUCUGGCUAGAUGAACAAACCUCAGUUAGAUUUAGGUCAUACAUUGAAUGCUUAUAUCCCAAAUUAUUGCCUUGUGGCUUGCGAGACUUCAUAAUGGUUCACUAGCACAAUCUGAUUCCUUUGUCAGACUGUUAAACAGCUCAUUAGAUCAUUCCAUGAUCUACGUCGUGGGCUGGCCCCCUUUUCUAGUCAAAGAAAUGGUCACCCACUUGUGAAAAGCACUUCUUGUAUUAGUUAUGGAUGUAGUGAGUUUGUGUAGCUAUAGCAGGCUGAACAUAACCCCCACUCCAAUGCUUGCACAGUGACAUGGCACAUGAUGAUGUGAUUAUAAACUUAGAGAUCCUGCAUUUCUGUCCUGGGCACAAUCUUACCAUACAUAGAGUAAAAAUACAUUCUGCAAGGUGAUCUGUGCAAACCCAGAAGCUGCUGGUACAGAUUUGGGCAGCCAGUGGCUGCUACAGCUCUAAAGAAACUGUGUAAAUGCCCUUAAGUGGAAUAUGUUGAAGUCAAGAAAGGGUUUAAAAUACCCGUACUCUGUGGCAUGUAUCUGUGUCAUUGUUUCUCUCUUCUCUAGACUUUAUCACAUGUGGAGGCUUUCCCAAAAUUGAAAUACCUAUGGUUAUUUAGUUUUUCUUUUUUCCUGGCUGCAAAAUAACAGGCCUUGUGCAAAAGCAGUUGCUCUGCCUUUACCAGAGUUAUAUUUCUAAGAACAGAGUCCCCAAAGAAAAGGGAAAGCAACGUAUCCUUUUAAUUUUAAACUGAAAAUUGAGAUUCUACUUCAUAUUUCUAUGUCUCCUUUGCCAAGAAAAAAUGUUAGAAAGGCCAGUGGCUUUGCAGACCCAUGAAAUCCACCCGGAGCUGAUCUGAAAAUAAACAGCAUCAAAACUAUAUGGUUUUGCUGAAAUAAAACCCUGAAGCAAUAAAACAAAUGACUAACACUUUCUAUUGGUCUACGUAGUUUAGUACAUGAAACAUACAUGUAAGCAACUCAAGAUGAAUGAGUCAUCUUGACUUAAUAAAGAUUACAAAUACUUGCUAAAUAUUUGAAAAGUCACAUGCCAGGACCCUUCAUCGCUUGUUUUGUUAGACUCCUGCUUUGCCAAGUCAAAACAGUCAGAAAUCAUAAAAAUAAUCCACACAAUCUGUCUGAAAAUGCAGUUUUUCUACAUUAUUUUCCUUGGUUUACAGCAGCAAGUCUUCCUUUCUGCCAUCAAAAUUUUGCAAUAGAGAGAGCAUGACUUCCUCUUCUCAUAAGGUCUGGAUAUCCAGAUGUCUGGCAGCCCAUCUGGGUUUUUGUGCCAGUUAAGCUGCCGGCCACCCUGGAAUAUCAGCUCUGUCCAUUGCCUGUGAAUAGAUUCAAGCAGUCACAAAUAUGCAGUAAAUUCAGCUGACAAGACAGGAUUUCUCCCUGGAUCUUGGUGCGUUACAUACACCUGUCAAGCAGAAGCUUCAAGGCAGCCUCAGGGGAGCAUCUCUAAAAGACACUCCUGCAAUAACAAUGAACUCACCGUCCAUUUGCUGCCUGUUUCUUUGAAACGAUGAGCAAGUUAAGAACAGAUUGACCAAACCACCGUGAUUUGCAGAGCAGUCUCAGGGGAAGAGUAUGGUAAUGCCUGGGUUUGGACCUGCACCUCUUCCUGCGCACCCACAGAUAGCCUGACGAAUUAAGCACCUUGGAUGUUGAAAGCAAUUUGAACAUCACGUAAACCUGGAGCUGAAUUUUGCUGUUUUCUACAAGGAAUGAGGGUGUCAGGAAGCCAGAGCAAGUCGAGGGCAUGCAUGGUGGGUGAAGGCAGGGUGUUCAGAGGCCACAGAUGCAGAAAGAAGCUCGUAGGCACUGGUUUAACUCACAGGGCAGAAAUGAUACUGAAAGAGAAUCUAGAGACAUUGGGUUUAGACAGAGUGUGCCCUGUCAGUGCUCUGGGCUGUUCUACGCUUGUUUCCCAGAGGUGAAGAAAUGACAAGUUCUAUAAUUCAAAAGUUUUUUGGCGAUGAAAAUGAUUUGACAGCUUGGUCUGGAGAUUUCUGUACCAUUAGGAAUCGUCUGAAACUGUCCGUGGCGAUAGAAUAAUUGUAAGUUAACCACGUCUAGGGAUGAAUGAUACUCGAAGUGGAGGCUGGGAGCUUGCCACUGCUGUUGGUCUGGACUCCGCUGUACUCUGGACAGAUGCCUACACAAAUUGGGAACAUGCUGCAAGGAACGCCAGUGCUUCGGGAACGGCACCGCUCUCAAAACUGCAGUUGCAAGUCAUGUGGAAUCAGCUUGAGGGAGCCUGUUGAUUACUUUCUAAGGAUAUCUACAUACAAAAAAACACGCCUGGUGUUAUAAAUCAGCAUAGUUCUGCUGACUGCAGCAUAGCUGCAUCCAUCUACUCCAGCUGAGAAUCUGGACUAAAGUUUUUAGGCAACACGGAGGACUGAAAACUACCAGAACACCUUUAAAGCUAGCGUGCCAGCAAGCAGGAGAGGCAUUCUGCUAUGUGGAGUAAAGUUCUUUCGUCUGUGGUAGUUAAAGCAGAAAAGUGAACUUUAGAUUCUCACCGUUUUAUUGCAUCUGUUAAAGCAGUAUUGGCUUUCAACAAUGAAAUGAGCAUUCAGGCCAAGUGUCUCUGCAGAAUUUCGGGCACUCCAUGAACGGAUAAAAUUUCAAUUGCAGAAACAAGAGAAAGUACCAGACACAAAUGCACCACGUAUUACAUUUAAGGAAAGACAGUGGAGUGGGCAGGUUAUACCGUGGGAAUAGGCAGCAGCUGGCGGCUGACCCUGGUGUUAUGACAAAGUCACUGACAAGGCCACAAAAAAUUAAGAUUAUUAGUAAGUAAAGUCAGCCUGCCUUUGAGAAAUCCAGCAUGGCCGGUCUGUGGACUAAGAUCUGGGCUCCAAGCCGGGUCCCUUGUUCCCAGGCAGACAGAGUUGGCAACAGCCUGUAUCACUCUCUGGUGGCCUCUUGGGCCAGAAAGAGAAGGUAUAUUGGCAGCAAUGCAAGGGAAUGGCAGCCAGGUCUGCUAGCCAGAAAUCAAGUUGUGGGGAGAAAAAGGCGAAAGCAGGCCCCUUCAACACAGCACAGGCAUCAGGCUUGCAAGGAGAUGCAUGGAAAAGACUUGCAGUGGAGAAGCCUAGGCCAGGUGGGACUCACCAGUCGGAGGGCUGCCCGUCCUUCAGCGAGCGGUCCCAGGGGCCAGGCGCUGCGGGGCCGUCACUGCUGGCUGGCGUGUAGCAGAGCCCCAGGGCCCACACUGCCUUGCCCACAGCCACACGUGGCUGUGACUCACUCUCUCACCUUGCCAGAGCCCCGGGGUGAAGCGUGGAGAUUUCCUGAAGACAUCUGUGCUUCAGAGGCUCCGGGGUCUGGAACAGGCUGCGGCUCUGGUUUCCCCAUGCACAGGGCUCUCAGCAUGUGUCUUAGCUCUUUCCACUGCUGUUCUGGACAGGCCUCCUGCUCAUCCUUUCACUUCAUUAAAAGGGCCUCGGCCCCUCCUCCAGCAUCUUAAGAGACAGUGCUGGGAAAGGCAGUGGUGCGGGAGUGACAGGCAGAACUGGAGGAACUACUGCACCCUUUUUCUUAAAGCCCCUGCAAUUGCCUUCUUUCUAGGUGGGAAUCCCUCUCAGUGAUUAUCUGGCUCUUCUGAUUUUCAUCAGCUGGAGAGCUGCAUCUCUGAGAUUAUCCUCUCAGCAUCCUUGCCUACUCCUUAAUGUCACAGGCUUUGGCCACUUAGUCCAGUUAUAGCAUCUCAAUUCCAGCCUCAUCCUCCUGCAAGAGUAACUCACAAAUAAAGUGGAGUGGGAGUUUCCAUGUUCAAGUGCUUUCCUUGAGCCCUCGGGGAAAGGUCCUGAACACAAUUUCUUCCGCUUGGAUGGAAAGAGGAAUUCCUGUUAGAGCCUCCAUGAAAUUACAGUCUCCUUUUUUUAUGAAAUGUAAAACAAAGCAAAUAUUACCUUAGAGUCUCUUUUUCUUGUUGCAAUAAAAUGAGACACUUCCUUGGAAACAAGUUUUAAGACACAGGUCUUGUAAUGUUCACGUUUAUUGGAAUGGAGCUCACAGCUGACCCGAGGUCUGGAGGGCUUGGAAGCAAUAGUCGAUGUGAACUUCCAAUUCUUUCCUUCCUCAGCACGAGGUGCAAAACUAGUCUGUUUCUCAGAGAGACUUCCCCACCCUUCGCAAGCUUGUGCGCUCAUAUAUCUCUCAUGGUACAUAAAGAAUGACAUAUUGCAGCGAAUCUGCUGAGAAUAGCUUGUAAAAUACAUCAUGAUAUGAAUCAGCCUCAUUAGAAGUCUCUCUUUCUCAUGAUUUAAUACAGACACGGUGCUUCCAGGAGUGGAAACCCGUGUGUUGGGUUUUUUUCUCUCUCACUGGUGUGUUGUGCUCAGCCAAAUGCUGAAACAGAAAUAAAGAAUUCUCUGAACUCAGGGCCAGAAGUAGAAAGCAAAUACUGCAUUACCAAUAUGCCUCUCUGGCAUAAUUAAGGCCUUGGGUGUUUCCCUGGAUAUGUGACUUUCCAGUUUUGUUAACAAAAUAUUAUUUUGCUCUUCUAAACAGCACAAAGCUGCAUUCUUUGCAUACUCCAAAUCCCCCUGACUCAGGACCCUCUCACACCUCGCAUUCAGCAUCCUGAGCCAUUCCAGGCUUUUCUCCCACAGCUGCUGCUGUGUUUAUGAAGGGGAUUAUACGACACGGUGCCUGUGAUAGCAGGAGACAAGGCUCAGUGGCCCAAGAGGCCUCUCUCAGUCCUAUUUUAUGUAAGGACUGGUGUACCAGGUGCCACAAACGCAUGACUCAGACCCUGCUCAAACUGCUCGUGUGCUGGUGCAAGCACUUGGAAAUGAAAUCAAUGAUGUUAGUGUUUUACUUUAGACAAGACUACAGCAGAUGCAAUCCAAACGACACACCACAAAUAGCAACAGCUCUGGGCGAGUGGCCAUGUCGUGCAGGACUCAUGGUAGGAAAGGGAUAUCUCUGCUCCAAGGCAAUGAAAUAACUUCUUCCCUCUCCGCUUUUUACUGUUUCUCUCUUGUCACUUCAAUAUCAGAGCAUGUAACAAUUCUUGCUGUUAUUUCUAGUAAACCACAGCACAUUUUGGCUUAUAAACCUCUGGCUGCACUCUUUUCAGUCACGUGGAUCUUUAAUCAAAUGUGCUGAGUGCAACUACUCAGCUGUCCUCCAUCAUUUUGGUCUCCUAAUUCCCCCAGCCCUGUUACCCAUGAUCGCUCCCUGGUUUGUCACCAAUGAGCCUUGCUGGCUGAGCACUGUGGUAUAUUUCCAUCUCUCACCCAAUACCUUGGGCCAUGGAAAUUAUCAAAGGUCUUGUCACAAUCAAGGCCAGGGCAUCACAACUUUGCAGGCAAACUGUAUUCAGCUUGUGCUUUCUUCUGUGUAAGAUGAAGUAUGUGCAGAACUCCACAUACUCCUGUUCUACUGCAGCUCAGUCAGGUGAUAGCACUUCAGGGCAAAGAACAAACAAAAUUCCACUCUAUUUCUAGCCUUGAUCAGUGGUUCCCAAAUAUUUUCCUUAUUUACCACGACUUGGGGGAAUUUGUUUUAACAGCAAUUCUCAUAACCUUUGUGUUACUGCUAGCUUUGCCACUGACAGAAGUGGGUUUACUUUUAUCACUUACUGUCUAUCAAAUGCUAUUUUACGAGACCUGGUCUGUUUCAGCUGUGGCUUGUGCCUCAGGACUGGGCAUCCCUUGCAAUGCCAGACUUGCCUGCUGCUCCUUGAAUUUGAUGGGAAGGAUCUGGUUCCCAAAGCUGGGAUUUCACAGCUGUGGUCUGACUGACUUCCUAUCAGCGCAUACAGAAGAAGUGAGCACACAGCAGCAGCUAAGCACCCAUUUCAGACCUCAGACUUCUCAACUGGAACAACUGUUGCAGUUUGAAGUUGUUUUGCUAACUUCUUUGGCUAAUUGAUAACAUCUGCAUCUCACCACCCUUCCUUGUGUCUCGAGCUACUUCCAAAUAGAUCAGAUAGAUAACACUGCAGCAGAUCUCAGUUUCAAUAUUAGUGAUAUAUAUUGUUACACUUUCAGCAAAUAGUAUUAAAACCUGGAGGGGGAGGGAGGUGUCUUCUAAUAAUACUUCCUUUAUAAAGGUUUCUUUCACACAGUCACAGAAACAAGUCCAGAGACACCAAUAAAACCUCAUGGUAUUCAUUUGGUGUUUCUCUCAUGGUCAUGGUCAGAUAAAAAAGAACUUUUGUAAUAUUUCACAUUAUUUUUCUCUGCUUUCUCCCUACCAAACCAGCUAAAUUUGAAAGUUACAUAAGGGCUUUAAGAUAUUGGAAUUUGCUUUUAUUUUCCAUUAUUUUUCAUUGUCCUUAUAUUACAAUAGAUGAAUGAGGAGCUGAUGUAUGUGAUAUUUUAGUAAAUAAAAUCCUUGUAUUCGAGAUCACUCUUGAAGUCUGGUAAUACACAGUGACACCAUAUAGGUCCCAAGGAGACAUUAUGGUUGUAAUGGAAAUAUCAUAUAUCUCAUAUCCCAGGUCUGAUAUAUCAGCUCAGCCAUAAAAAGAAACAGGAUAUUUGCAACUAUAUUUUAACAGGGAUUUUGCUGUUACCAUGAGAACAUGGAUUACUUAGAAACUUUGGUGAGAAAACUCCUUAAUGGCUUCAUCAGUGUCUAACCCAAGGAGAUUUCAGUUCUUUCACUGCUAUCAAAACAGCCAUUAAUGCAGUGAAAAUCAGAAACGUAUGAGUGUUUCUUGAGUGCCUCGCUGUACAUCCCAGACUGAAGUCUCAGUGCAGGUCAGACAGUCCCCUCUAUCAUGUGUCAGAAUUCCCAAGAUCGAAUCUGGGCUAUGCCUAGUGACACGCGUCCACUAAGGGUUCUCUAUUGCUUGACAGGUUGUGUUGGGGAGAUGUUCCCUCCUCCACCUCCCUGUUGCUGUUGGGAUGGUGAGAGCUGUUACUGAGCAGGGUCCAGAGAUGUCUUCAGGCCCUGUGAUGCGCAGAGAAUGGAUGUAAGCCAAGACUUGAGACUCGAAGUUGCUCAGCUAGCCAGGAGAGCCUCAUGAAUUUUCUUGUAAAAGGAAUUUCUCUGGAUUCAGGGAGACUAGUUACAUAAUCCUUUGAAAACAAUAUUUGAAACAGGAUAGGGCUAUCCCCUUUAUGAAGUCCCCAGAAGAACCUGC